GAUGAACGCUGACAGAAUGCUUAACACAUGCAAGUCGAUGGGGAAGUGGUGCUUGCACCAUGGUAACCAUGGCGGACGGGUGAGUAACGCGUAAGGAACUUGCCUGCGGGACUGGGAUAACAGCAGGAAACUGUUGAUAAUACCGGAUAAGGUCAUUAAGCUGCAUAGCUUAGUGAUGAAAGGAGACGCCUGCGGAGAGCCUUGCGUCCUAUUAGCUAGUUGGAGGGGUAACGGCCCACCAAGGCGAAGAUAGGUAGCCGGCCUGAGAGGGUGGACGGCCACAAGGGGACUGAGAUACGGCCCUUACUCCUACGGGAGGCAGCAGUGGGGAAUAUUGGACAAUGGGGGCAACCCUGAUCCAGCAAUUCUGUGUGCACGAAGACGGUUUUCGGAUUGUAAAGUGCUUUCAGCAGGGAAGAAGGAAGUGACGGUACCUGCAGAAGAAGCGACGGCUAAAUACGUGCCAGCAGCCGCGGUAAUACGUAUGUCGCGAGCGCUAUCCGGAAUUAUUGGGCAUAAAGGGCAUCUAGGCGGCCUUCCAAGUCAGGGGUGAAAACCUGCGGCUCAACCGCAGGCCUGCCUUUGAAACUGAUAGGCUGGAGUACCGGAGAGGUGGACGGAACUGCACGAGUAGAGGUGAAAUUCGUAGAUAUGUGCAGGAAUGCCGAUGAUGAAGAUAGUUCACUGGACGGUAACUGACGCUGAAGUGCGAAAGCCGGGGGAGCGAACAGG
rnacentral:rRNA from 1 species